rnacentral:rRNA from 1 species
GACGAACGCUGGCGGCGUGCCUAACACAUGCAAGUCAACUUGACUAAAGGAGCAAUCUGACAGUAGAGUGGCGCAAGGGUGCGUAACGCGUAAGUAACUUGCCCAAGGUAAGGAAUAACGUCGAGAAAUCGGCGCUAAUACCUCAUAAUGCAGCGGAUCCGCAUGGAUAGUUGUUAAAGGUUUACCGCCUUGGGAUAGGCUUGCGUCUGAUUAGCUAGUUGGUGUGGUAACGGCACACCAAGGCUACGAUCAGUAACUGGUCUGAGAGGAUGAUCAGUCACACUGGAACUGAGACACGGUCCAGACUCCUACGGGAGGCAGCAGUGAGGAAUAUUGGGCAAUGCUCGAAAGAGUGACCCAGCAACGCCGCGUGGAGGAUGAAGGUAUUCUAUAUCGUAAACUCCUGUGAGAGCAGACGAAAGACAGAUUAUUAAUCUGGAUGACUGUAUGCUCAGAGGAAGCCCCGGCUAACUACGUGA